UUUCCAGGUAUUUGGCUGUCCAAAAAGUACUCAAAUACCCAUUCUCUCAUAAGCUUUUAAUUGACACGCAGCUUGUAGGAACAGAUCAUUGUACAUUCAACUCCACACAGAAAGCUUUUGGAAUUGAUGACUUUCGGAAGAUUCCAAAUGGUGUCAAUGGUAUUGAAGAGAGGAUGCAUCUGAUCUGGGAUACAAUGGUGGAAACUGGUAGAAUAUCAGUAACUGAUUAUGUGAAAAUAACAAGCACCAAAUGGUAUGAGUUUGUCAUGACCAUGUCUCUGAUGCCACACGCUAAUUGCAUGGUGAUGCACCUUAUCAGUAGCAUAGUGAUACCUUUUUUUGUGAUGUACAUCUCAGUGCUUGUAAUACGUUCCUAUGUUGAUUGAUGCUUGCUAGCAUUUAUCAUCCAUGUUGCUUGCCUCUCAUCCUUCCUAUGUUGUGAUCAGUACUGUUCAUCUAGUAGAUUCUACUAUGGAUAGGCCACAUGGAAAAGUCUCAUUGAUCAGAGAUCUUCAGCAUUCACAGAAAGGUAGUUAAUGAAAAAAAAAUCUUGCACUUUUCAUCACUUGUUGAUCGAUGUGGGGAUCUUUUGUCAAAUAAGGGCCUAUUAGGUAUGUGGGAUUAAAUGGUAUGGAAUUGUAUUAGAUGG